rnacentral:lncRNA from 1 species
GCAAAUUGUAAAAAAAAAAAAUCAAUUUACAGAUAUUUUUAAGUAAUGACAUUAACCAGGCAAUCAUGUAUGAUGAAAAUUGUAACUGAGCUUUACCCUUUAAACUAUAUAGAAAAUCAUUUUCAACAUGUAAACAAAACAGUAACGAAGUUACACAUUCACCACUAGAUAAAUAGUAAAAAGAAGACAUCAAAAACAAGCUCAGCCUGAAUCAAAUUCAUGAUACAACAAAUUCAUUGUGUUCCAUCAUUUACUGAACCUUUCAGUCACAAACAGAGAACAGAGGUUCACCCAAUAACAACGAUUAUUUAUAUCCCUGAAGAUUACGAGAGGCAUACUCACACAGGCAACAUGCCCCUGCUUUUUUCAUCAGGUUUAUUAAACUUCAUUUAAAGUUUUCACAUGUUUCUUUUUAACAAUGUGUUCCAUCAUUUACUGAACCUUUCAGUUACAAACAGAGAACAGAGGUUCACCCAAUAACAAUGAUUAUUUAUAUCCCUGAAGAUUACGAGAGGCAUGCUCACACAGGCAACAUGCCCCUGCUUUUUCAUCAGGUUUAUUCAACUUCAUUAAACGGUUUCAUAAAUUUCUUUUAACAAUGUGUUCCAUCAUUUACUGAACCUUUCAGUUACAAACAGAGAACAGAGGUUCACCCAAUAACAAUGGUU